GUGGGGAAUAUUGCACAAUGGGGGAAACCCUGAUGCAGCAACGCCGCGUGAGUGAAGAAGUAUUUCGGUAUGUAAAGCUCUAUCAGCAGGGAAGAAGAAGGACGGUACCUGACUAAGAAGCCCCGGCUAACUACGUGCCAGCAGCCGCGGUAAUACGUAGGGGGCAAGCGUUAUCCGGAUUUACUGGGUGUAAAGGGAGCGUAGACGGCCAAGCAAGUCUGAAGUGAAAGCCCGUGGCUCAACCGCGGAACUGCUUUGGAAACUGUCUGGCUAGAGUACUGGAGAGGCAAGCGGAAUUCCUAGUGUAGCGGUGAAAUGCGUAGAUAUUAGGAGGAACACCAGUGGCGAAGGCGGCUUGCUGGACAGAAACUGACGUUGAGGCUCGAAAGCGUGGGGAGCAAACAGG
rnacentral:rRNA from 1 species